rnacentral:rRNA from 1 species
CUGUGCGAGCCUGAUCCAGCAAUGCCGCGUGUGUGAUGAAGGCCUUCAGGUUGUAAAGCUCUUUUGUCCGGAAAGAAAUGGAUGGGACUAAUACCAAGAGGCCGAUGACAGUACCGGAACAACAACCACCGGCUUACUACAUGCCAGCAGCCGCGGUAAUAA